UUAAAAAUAAAUUGGAUAGGCAUAUGGAUGAGAAGGGAAUGGAGGGUUAUGGUAUGAGUGCAGGCAGGUGGGACUAAGGGAAAAUAAUUGUUCGGCACGGACUUGUAGGGCCGAGAUGGCCUGUUUCUGUGCUGUAAUUGUUAUAUGGUUAUAGGUCACGGAGAGAACGUACAAACUCUGUACAGACAGCACCCGUGGUCAGGAUCGAACCCGGGUCUCUGGCGCUGUGAGGCAGCAACUCUACCGCUGGGCCACCAUGCCGCAUCUUGUCAGAGUUAAAUUCCAUUUGCCAUUCUUUAGGCACCAUCCUCCCAACUGAUCUAGAUCUUGUUGUAAACUUUGAUAUGCUUUUCUCUACAAGACCUCAAACAUGCAUCGUACUGUGGGAUAGAGCGAUUGUCUCUUCCUUCACAAGAAUCCUGCUCCAUGUUGCUACAUAUUUCCCAUUUAUCACUACUCCCCUUCCUCAAAAUAACAGCGUCUUCAAUUCAUGGAAACAGCCCUGGACACGGUGUAACAUCGCAAUGCCUGUUGUACGACAUCCUGCUUGAGUUGUAAAGCCCUUGAUCAGUGAGAAAUAUAUUGAAGAUUCACCGUAAAGUCGCGGCAAGAAAGUGAACUUGGUAAGUACUCGAACAGCUGUUAUUCCCAAUGUUGGAGAUCAGAGUUUCACCAUUGAGCUAAUGAAUCCUGCAAUGUGUACAGGUGCACAUUCCUCCCCCCCCACCCCACACAUACCACCGCUCUUUGCAAGGGAGAUGAUUUGGAAAGCUUUGACAAGGUUAUGCAAUCAGUCACAGAAGCAAACAGUCUGUCUGCCUCACGCAAUGGCAGCUCCACGGUAAAUUAGCGAGGCAUGGGACGAGGAAUCCGAGAGGCUUUUUCAAAGGCUAGAUUCAAACGUAAACCAUGUUUGGUGGAACAAUUGCACAGAUUUCCACAUGCAGUGAAAAGGUGUGAUCAAAAGAGAACCGUGGAAGGAGAGGCAGUCGGGCCAAACACUCCUACCUGUGAGGAGAAGCUACGGAAUAUAACAUUAUGGAAAUGAACAUUCAGGAAGGAACUGCAGAUGCUGGUUUAAACCGAAGGCAGGCACAAAAAGCUGGAGUAACUCAGCGGGACAGGGAGCAUCUGUGGAGAGAAGGAAUGGGUGAUGUUUCGGGUCGAGACCCUUCUUCAGACUGUUAUCAGGCUUCUGAAUGGUCCUGCCAUAAGCUAGGGUCCUGUCCGAUUCACCUCUACCCCAUUGCGGACAUUGGACUUUGCCACUUUGUCUCUGGGACUAGUGCGCUACAAUGCUGACAACUAUAUUUGUUUAGUUUAGAAAUACCGCGCGGAAACAGGCCCUUCGGCCCACCGAGUCCGUCCGCACCGACCAGCGAUCCCCGCACACUAACACUACCCUACACACACUAGUGACUAUGUACAUGAAAUACACCAAGCCGAUUAACCUGCAAACCUGAACGUCUUUGGAGCAUCUCUUAAAGAUAGCGGAGUCAGGGGAUAUGUGGGAGAAGGCAGGAACGGGGUACUGAUUGGGCAUGAUCAGCCAUGAUCACAUUGAAUGGCAGUACUGGCUCAAAGGGCCGAAUGGCCUACUCCUGCACCUAUUGUCUAUUGUCUACUGAGUGUGGGAGGAAACCAGAGCACCCGGGAAAAACCCACGCAGGUCACGGGGAGAACGUGCAAACUCCGUACAGACAGCACCCGUAGUCAGGAUGGAACCCGGGUCUCCGGCGCUGUGAGGCAGCAACUCUACCGCUGCGCCACCGUGCCGCCCUGCACACUGCAUCAUUCCCCGUCUUACGCUGAAUAGUGCACUUGAGUUUGGUGCAUAGUGUGUUGAUGUAUCGUGCUAUGAAGUGAACAUAUGGCCGGCAUGCGCACUUGGCUCCCCAACUGACAGAAGGGGAACAUGAUUGGGACUCUGCAUCCUGUGAGCAGCGACUCCCAGGAUAUUUCUCUUUCCCGCAUGGCCACAAGACGUGAUGGGCAUGGGCCUUCACGUGUAUAACGCCUCCCUCCCUACUGCAGGAGCUCCUCCAUCAGUUAAUUAAACAUGAUAUAAAUCACGGCA